GUCAUGGCUGGGAAAGUGUGCUGGCUCCCUAGGUCCUUUUCUGGAACCUCCUUCACCCUGCUCCCAACAUGUGUCCUCAGUGUGAAGCAACAAGAUACUGUGUGAAGCGGACAAGAAACAGCACAAAAGCCUGCGGUAGCUUUUGAGGUCAAGAAAUAUUUCCUUAGAGCAGCGGGAGCUGUGCCAAAGGCGAUCAGGCGGGCCACUCGGGAUUCAUCUGAAGUUCACCUUGCAACAGUGGCACCUCCUUCACAACACGGCCACGCUGGCGGUGGCCCUGAGUGAGGCAGAGAGCUCCAACUGCUCACCUCCCGGGAAGCCUUUAGUUACCUCCCGCUGACACAGGGCGCCUCAGCAGCUGCCACCAUGCGCGUCUCCAGUGGAAGAUGUUUACCGAUUGAUUUUUCAAGAUUUCGUUUACUUAUUUUAGAGUGAAAGAGCACAAGCAGGGGAGUUAAGGAUAGAGGGAGAAGGAGAGAACCUCAAGCAGACUCCUUGCAGGGCGCAGAGAUGGACUCAGGGCCGGAUCUCACGACUGAGACCAUGACCUGAGGCCAAAUCAAGAGUGAGAUGCUCAACUGACUGAGCCACCCAGGCGCCCUGGGAGAUGUUUAUUUAAG
rnacentral:lncRNA from 1 species